GACGAACGCUGGCGGCGUGCCUAAUACAUGCAAGUAGAACGCUGAAGGAGGAGCUUGCUUCUCUGGAUGAGUUGCGAACGGGUGAGUAACGCGUAGGUAACCUGCCUGGUAGCGGGGGAUAACUAUUGGAAACGAUAGCUAAUACCGCAUAAGAGUAGAUGUUGCAUGACAUUUGCUUAAAAGGUGCAAUUGCAUCACUACCAGAUGGACCUGCGUUGUAUUAGCUAGUUGGUGGGGUAACGGCUCACCAAGGCGACGAUACAUAGCCGACCUGGGAGGGUGAUCGGCCACACUGGGACUGAGACAGGGCCCAGAGUCCUACGGGAGGCCGCAGUAGGGAAUGUUCGGCAAUGGACGGAAGUCUGACCGAGCAACGCCGCGUGAGUGAAGAAGGUUUUCGGAUCGUAAAGCUCUGUUGUAAGAGAAGAACGAGUGUGAGAGUGGAAAGUUCACACUGUGACGGUAUCUUACAAGAAAGGGACGGCAAACUACGU
rnacentral:rRNA from 1 species